rnacentral:rRNA from 1 species
GAAUUUUGCGCAAUGGGGGAAACCCUGACGCAGCAACGCCGCGUGGAGGAUGAAGGUUUUCGGAUUGUAAACUCCUGUCAGUGGGGAAAAAGCGAGCCAACCUAAUACGUUGGUGAGUUGAUUGUACCCGCAGAGGAAGCCCCGGCUAACUCUGUGCCAGCAGCCGCGGUAAUACAGAGGGGGCAAGCGUUAUUCGGAAUUAUUGGGCGUAAAGGGCGCGUAGGUGGCCGCACAAGUGGAAGGUGAAAUCCCCCGGCUCAACCGGGGAACUGCCUUCCAAACUGAGUGGCUUGAGUCCGGGAGAGGUGAGUGGAAUUCCCAGUGUAGCGGUGAAAUGCGUAGAUAUUGGGAGGAGCACCGGUGGCGAAGGCGGCUCACUGGACCGGAACUGACGCUGAGGCGCGAAAGCGUGGGGAGCAAACGGG